rfam:Mycobacterium shinjukuense strain CCTG 53584 Mycobacterium_shinjukuense_CCTG53584_contig69, whole genome shotgun sequence.
CUUGACCGACCCCAACCACAACGGAUGCUCACGAUCACGCCGGGCGCCAUACGUGGCGAUCAACGCCUCCGCCUC